rnacentral:rRNA from 1 species
GUGGGGAAUAUUGGACAAUGGGCGCAAGCCUGAUCCAGCUAUGCCGCGUGUGUGAAGAAGGCCUUUUGGUUGUAAAGCACUUUAAGCGAGGAGGAGGCUACUUGGAUUAAUACUCUAGGAUAGUGGACGUUACUCGCAGAAUAAGCACCGGCUAACUCUGUGCCAGCAGCCGCGGUAAUACAGAGGGUGCGAGCGUUAAUCGGAUUUACUGGGCGUAAAGCGUGCGUAGGCGGCUUUUUAAGUCGGAUGUGAAAUCCCUGAGCUUAACUUAGGAAUUGCAUUCGAUACUGGGAAGCUAGAGUAUGGGAGAGGAUGGUAGAAUUCCAGGUGUAGCGGUGAAAUGCGUAGAGAUCUGGAGGAAUACCGAUGGCGAAGGCAGCCAUCUGGCCUAAUACUGACGCUGAGGUACGAAAGCAUGGGGAGCAAACAGGAUUAGAAACCCCUGUAGUCC